UGAGGGGAGUGAAAUAGAUCCUGAAACCGCAUGCAUACAAGCAGUGGGAGCACCUUCGUGGUGUGACUGCGUACCUUUUGUAUAAUGGGUCAGCGACUUAUAUUCAGUAGCAAGGUUAACCGUAUAGGGGAGCCGUAGAGAAAUCGAGUCUUAAUAGGGCGUUUAGUUGCUGGGUAUAGACCCGAAACCAGGCGAUCUAUCCAUGAGCAGGUUGAAGGUUGGGUAACACUAACUGGAGGACCGAACCCACUGUCGUUGAAAAGCCAGGGGAUGACUUGUGGAUAGGGGUGAAAGGCUAAUCAAGCCUGGUGAUAGCUGGUUCUCCCCGAAAGCUAUUUAGGUAGCGCCUCGGACGAAUACCAUAGGGGGUAGAGCACUGUUUCGGCUAGGGGGUCAUCCCGACUUACCAAACCGAUGCAAACUCCGAAUACCUAUGAGUACUAUCCGGGAGACAGACUGCGGGUGCUAACGUCCGUAGUCAAGAGGAAAACAAUCCAGACCGCCAGCUAAGGCCCCAAAAUCAUAGUUAAGUGGGAAACGAUGUGGGAAGGCAUAGACAGCUAGGAGGUUGGCUUAGAAGCAGCCACCCUUUAAAGAAAGCGUAAUAGCUCACUAGUCGAGUCGGCCUGCGCGGAAGAUGUAACGGGGCUAAAACUAUGUGCCGAAGCUGCGGAUUUGACAUUAGUCAAGUGGUAGGGGAGCGUUCUGUAAGCCGAUGAAGGUGUAUUGAGAAGUAUGCUGGAGGUAUCAGAAGUGCGAAUGCUGACGUGAGUAACGACAAAACGGGUGAAAAACCCGUUCGCCGAAAGACCAAGGGUUCCAGUCCAACGUUAAUCGGGGCUGGGUGAGUCGACCCCUAAGGCGAGGCCGAAAGGCGUAGUCGAUGGGAAAAUGGUUAAUAUUCCAUUACUUCUGUGUAAUGCGAUGAGAGGACGGAGAAGGCUAAAUCAGCCUGGCGUUGGUUGUCCAGGUGAAAGGAUGUAGGCAUGUAUCUUAGGCAAAUCCGGGGUACUCUAUGCUGAGAUCUGAUAGCAAGCUGUACUUGUACAGCGAAGUGGUUGAUGCCAUGCUUCCAGGAAAAGUCUCUAAGCUUCAGUUACACAGGAAUCGUACCCGAAACCGACACAGGUGGUCAGGUCGAGUAGACCAAGGCGCUUGAGAGAACUCUGCUGAAGGAACUAGGCAAAAUGGUACCGUAACUUCGGGAGAAGGUACGCUGUUGUUGGUGAUGGAACUCGCUUCCUGAGCUGACGACAGCCGCAGAAACCAGGCCGCUGCAACUGUUUAUUAAAAACAUAGCACUCUGCAAACACGAAAGUGGACGUAUAGGGUGUGAUGCCUGCCCGGUGCUGGAAGGUUAAUUGAUGGGGUUAGCGUAAGCGAAGCUCUUGAUCGAAGCCCCAGUAAACGGCGGCCGUAACUAUAACGGUCCUAAGGUAGCGAAAUUCCUUGUCGGGUAAGUUCCGACCUGCACGAAUGGCAUAAUGAUGGCGGCGCUGUCUCCAGCAGAGGCUCAGUGAAAUCGAAAUCGCUGUGAAGAUGCAGUGUACCCGCGGCUAGACGGAAAGACCCCGUGAACCUUUACUGCAGCUUGACACUGAACUUUGACCUUACUUGUGUAGGAUAGGUGGGAGGCUUUGAAGCUGGAACGCUAGUUCCAGUGGAGCCGUCCUUGAAAUACCACCCUGGUAAUGUUGAGGUUCUAACUCUGUCCCGUGAUCCGGGACGAGGACCGUGUCUGGUGGGUAGUUUGACUGGGGCGGUCUCCUCCUAAAGAGUAACGGAGGAGUACGAAGGUGCGCUCAGCGUGGUCGGAAAUCACGCGUAGAGUAUAAAGGCAAAAGCGCGCUUAACUGCGAGACCCACAAGUCGAGCAGGUACGAAAGUAGGUCUUAGUGAUCCGGUGGUUCUGUAUGGAAGGGCCAUCGCUCAACGGAUAAAAGGUACUCUGGGGAUAACAGGCUGAUACCGCCCAAGAGUUCAUAUCGACGGCGGUGUUUGGCACCUCGAUGUCGGCUCAUCUCAUCCUGGGGCUGAAGCAGGUCCCAAGGGUAUGGCUGUUCGCCAUUUAAAGAGGUACGCGAGCUGGGUUUAGAACGUCGUGAGACAGUUCGGUCCCUAUCUACCGUGGGCGCUGGAAAUUUGAGAGGAUCUGCUCCUAGUACGAGAGGACCAGAGUGGACGAACCUCUGGUGUACCGGUUGUGACGCCAGUCGCAUCGCCGGGUAGCUAUGUUCGGAAGGGAUAACCGCUGAAAGCAUCUAAGCGGGAAGCCUACCUCAAGAUAAGAUUUCCCUAGGACUUUAUGUCCUCUAAAGAGCCGUUCGAGACUAGGACGUUGAUAGGUUGGAUGUGGAAGCAUAGUGAUAUGUGAAGCUGACCAAUACUAAUUGCUCGUGAGGCUUGACUAU
rnacentral:rRNA from 1 species